rnacentral:misc_RNA from 1 species
GUAAUAAUUUAGGGUAUCGGAACAAGUAAUGCUAGAUGCAAAGAGGUUAUGAUGUGUUCCAUCGGCAGGUUGCCCCGCCGAGGAAGAACAAGAGGUACGUAUAUAAAAGGGUGGUGAGAAUAGCCCCUUCGGCGGCGCAUUGCUGCGCCGGGGAGGGGCCCUCGGUAAUGAUCCUUCCGCAGGUUCACCUACGGAAA